rnacentral:rRNA from 1 species
GACGAACGCUGGCGGCGUGCUUAACACAUGCAAGUCGAACGGUAAGGCCCUUCGGGGUACACGAGUGGCGAACGGGUGAGUAACACGUGGGUGAUCUGCCCUGCACUUCGGGAUAAGCCUGGGGAACUGGGUCUAAUACCGGAUAGGACCACUGCCUGCAUGGGUGGUGGUGGAAAGCUUUUGCGGUGUGGAUGGGCCCGCGGCCUAUCAGCUUGUUGGUGGGGUGAUGGCCUACCAAGGCGACGACGGGUAGCCGGCCUGAGAGGGUGACCGGCCACAGUGGGACUGAGAUACGGCCCAGACUCCUCCGGGAGGCAGCAGUGGGUAAUAUUGCACAAUGGGCGCAAGCCUGAUGCAGCGACGCCGCGUGAGGGAUGACGGCCUUCGGGUUGUAAACCUCUUUCAGCACCGACGAAGCGCAAGUGACGGUAGGUGCAGAAGAAGGACCGGCCAACUACGUGCCAGCAGCCGCAGUAA